CAUUGGAGCAGCACAGAGCCAUCAUGCCUGGCUCUGCAAACAAGAGAUGAUACACUAAAAUCCCACUGUUGUGGUCUUUCUUCAGGAGCAAAUCAAAACACAGAAGAUAACUCCAGGAUCUGUUCAAUACCAUGCAACAUUUUGAUGCUGUUUCCAAGGAGGCCCAAGAGUGUCUGUGAGAAUGUGCUGUAUCUUCACAAGAAUUCUACUUCUGAAACAAGGAGAGGAUGAACAACACUAGGCUCAAUAUCAGGGUUUUUCCCACUCUGGCAUUUUUAGCACUCUCAGCUGUAAGGUCACUUGAAUGAAUUUAACUCUUUGACAUCCUUGUGCUUUCAACCCUUUCACCCCAACACCAGGUUUUGUCUUGUAUUUCUAAGUUAGACCUACCACUUUUAUGGCCCAGGUCGUCUUUGGCUGAGGAAAGCUUUGGAGUUUAGGAGUCCUACAAGGGCUGUCUGGAGCUUUGGCUGAGUUUGUAUGAUCAGGCUCUUAACCCCUGCUCUGUGUCGCUGAGGUUGGCAGGCUGGAUGCUCCGCACUGCGCGCAGCAAGUCCUGGGCAGGACCUUCUGCUGAAGACCAUCCCAUGCUGGAUUCCAUCUGCCAAGAGAUCCAUGAACCUCAUCCUUCUCAGUUCAUGUAUCCACUGGCAGGACAUUUGGGGCAGUCCUGCUUCAAAAGGGCUUCAAGCACAUUGAGCUAAACAGUCCCAGUUCAGCAAAGCUGCCAAGCCCAUCCUUCAUUGCCCUGCUGAAGGACAAGUGAGUUCAGCUGUCAUGUUCAUUUGCACACAGAGGCCAGUGAGACUGUCACACUGCCUGCCUUGCUGGGUUGGAAAGAGAAGAUUAAAAAUGACACUCUUUUUUCCUGUGUCACACAGAUUUUCCAGUUCUUUCAUGUUUAGGAGUUUGAGAGCUGUGUGAGACUGGCUGUUAUGAACAAAUCCAGUUAGCUGAUUAUCUGCUGAAAAACCACCCCUAAUAAAUACAAAGGAUUUUGAAAAAAACCCAGUUCCAAGCCCUUGAGUUGUCUUUCUUUGUAUUUGAAGUUAGCCAUCAGUCCUCUGGUUGACAUAUAUAUUACAUCAAGUAGCAGAAAUGAGUGAAUUAUUGGACAUGGUGUUAAUUUAUUCUUGCCUAACUCUGGGCCCUGGGUGAGGGCAGCUAUUGCCCUGUACAUGGCAGAUAUUUGAUAUGGUGUCUGUCCUGCUAUUGUGACUCUGUAAAGCUUAUGAAGAUUAACAAAGAAAGGAUGUAAAAAUAUACUGCCUGAAAUGUCAAACACAGAAGUGAAAUAAAAAUAAAUAUAUAGGAAAAAUGGGCAUAUUAGUAGCUAAACCUUUCAGGGAAUCAGAUAAUGUAGGUUCAAUUUCUGAUUCCACUAUCAGUUUUUUAUGUGACCUUGGGCAAAUCAUUUAACUUCCCUCUCACUUAUUUAUCCUCUGUAAAACUGAAACCAGGCUUUGUCAAAGGAAAGGAAAAGGGAUAAGUCUUAUUAUCA